UACAGAGGGUGCAAGCGUUGUUCGGAAUUACUGGGCGUAAAGCGUGCGUAGUCGGUAUUGAGAGUCACGGGUGAAAUCCCAAGGCUUAACCUUGGAACUGCCUGUGAGACCUCAGUACUAGAGUGUGAGAGGGAUAGUGGAAUACCCAGUGUAGCGGUGAAAUGCGUAGAGAUUGGGAAGAACACCAGUGGCGAAGGCGGUUCUCUGGGACGGUACUGACGCAUGAGACGGCGAAAGCGUGGGGAGCGAACAGG
rnacentral:rRNA from 1 species